UACAGAGGUCCCGAGCGUUGUUCGGAUUUAUUGGGCGUAAAGCGCGUGUAGGCGGCCACGCAGGUCCGCUGUGAAAACUCGAGGCUCAACCUCGAGCUGUCGGUGGAAACCGCGUGGCUAGAGUCCGGAAGAGGGGACUGGAAUUCCCGGUGUAGCGGUGGAAUGCGCAGAUAUCGGGAGGAACACCCGUGGCGAAGGCGGGUCCCUGGGACGGUACUGACGCUGAGACGCGAAAGCGUGGGGAGCGAACAGG
rnacentral:rRNA from 1 species